rnacentral:rRNA from 1 species
GACGAACGCUGGCGGCGUGCUUAACACAUGCAAGUCGAACGAAGAGCGAUGGACGCUUGCUUCCAUCAAUUUUAGUCGCGAACGGGUGUGUAACGCGUAAUCAACCCGCCCUUCAGAGGGGGACAACAGUUGGAAACGACUGCUAAUACCGCAUACGAUCUAAUCUCGGCAUCGAGGAUAGAUGAAAGGUGGCCUCUACAUGUAAGCUAUCACUGAAGGGGGGGAUUGUGUCUGAUUAGCUAGUUGGAGGGGUAACGGCCCACCAAGGCGAUGAUCAGUAGCCGGUCUGAGAGGAUGAACCGGCACAAUGGGACUGAGACACGGGCCAGACUCCUACGGGAAGCAGCAGUGGGGAAUCUUCCGGAAUGGACGAAAGGCUGACGGGGCAACGCCGCGUGGGGGAUGACUGCCUUCGGGUUGUAAAGCUCUGUUAAUCGGGACGAAAGGCCUUCUUGCGAAAAGUGGGAAGGAUUGACGGUACCGGAAUAGAAAGCCACGGCUAACUACGUG